UUUCCGUAGGUGAACCUGCGGAAGGAUCAUUACAGAGUUCAUGCCCGAAAGGGUAGACCUCCCACCCUUGUGUAUUAUUACUUUGUUGCUUUGGCGAGCACAAGCUCGCCAGAGAAUACCAAAACUCUUUUAUUAAUGUCGUCUGAGUACUAUAUAAUAGUUAAAACUUUCAACAACGGAUCUCUUGGUUCUG
rnacentral:misc_RNA from 1 species